GGGAGAGAAUGAAUGAAUUAGAAUGAGUAUGUUAGUCAGCCUCGUGUUUCUUAGAGACGCCUUCACUUCUUUGCUCUGCCCCUUCACCCGCAGUAUCUGGAUUCUCAGCCCUGGUGUCUUUCUCUCAAACUAUUCCUUGCUAGAAGUGGGUAAGUGGAUGGCUUAGCUAUGGUAGUUGCAUUUAAAUUUAAAUCAGUGUGCUUUCCAGAGGCCUGGGGACAAACUGUGUCUGUCAUCUGAUGUUUUGUGGAGUUUCUGAGUCUUAUGUAUUUUAGGACUCCAUUCUGUUUGAGUCCUGAGUCACAGACCCCAGAGUGUCCAAACUCUUUGAAUAUUGUCCCUUUCAUCUUUUAGUGGUAAAGGUUUUAGAAUCUGGGAAGUGUCUCUGGGCAGACAGUCACAUACCUCAUAAAGGUGGCGAAGCAAAAGUGGCCUGGGAAGUAGCUCACAGUGCAGGACAAGUAAGAUGUCUGACCUAUUCUGUGCGUUGGCACUGGGAUUUUUACAGAACCAUGGUAGCCAAUCUCUGAAGGAAAUGUUCUAUUAGGACUUUGACAUUUUAUUUUAUUUUAUUUUAUUUAUUUUAAAGAUUUAUUUAUUUCAUUUAUAUGAGUACACUGUAGCUGUCUUCAGACACACCAGAAGAGGGCAUCAGAUCCCAUUAGAGAUGGUUGUGAGCCACCAUGUGGUUGCUGGGAAUUGAACUCAGGACCUCUGGAAGAGCAGCCAGUGCUCUUAACCUCUGAGCCAUCUCUCCAGCCCAGAUUUUGAUAUUCUUGAUCAGAGCAAAGAACUAUGUGGCAUUGGUAUCAGGUCUAUCAGAAUGGUGGAAAAGGGUCCUUCCCACUUUGGGUCAAGUAAGUAGCAAUGAAAAUACAUGCACUUGCUCUUUGCUAAAAUGACAGUUUGAUCUUCCUAACUUGCCUCCUCCAGCAGGGACAAAGACCUUUUGGUGUGGGCAUGGUUUCUUCUCCAUCCGGUCUCACAGUUUGCUUAAAUCUAUUACUCUGAAUAUUAAAGCCCACGUUGAAGAAAGAGUUUCCCUUGUGUGGGACUGUUCCCCAGAUGAAAGGGCAGGGGUGGUUUUCAAGGCUUAUGGUAAGGAAGCACUUUCAGACUGCUGUUUGUUUGCCUGAGAGAGACUCAGCUGGUAUUCAUGGAUGUUCCCAAGAAUUAAGAAGAUGCUUUCAAGUAUUUAAAAAUUGUGAGUAGGCAACAAAUGAACAUUUCGAGGAUAGAGGGAGCAUCAGUGAGAAGAAACUCCUCUAUCCCAAUUUCCCUUCCCACCAGAAAGUCACUGAUGCUUCCUUUAGAUGCAUUGUACACAUACAUGAAAAGAUAGCUGCAUUGUUUUUCUACUGGUCCAUUAGAUACAUAAUUUAUUUAAGCAUUCCCCAUUUGAUGGGCAUUGAUUGUUUUUAGUCUUCUAGCUCUUGAAGUGCAGUAAAUAUCCAGUGGAUGGAUUUCUAUAAGUAGAAUUGCUGAUCAUAACGGAUAUUAGUUUUCAAUCUUGGUAGAUUCUUCCAAAACAGCAUAUUUCUUUUCUUCUGGGUCAUAUAAAGGGCAUUUUGAGCUCAACUGUCUAGACUAAGGGAGGAACUUCUUUUUAGUUUGUGUAUAGGACAAUAUAGAUUCCUGAGGUUUUAUAAAGAUUAAUGUGCCUAUUAUAUGCCUUUGUGAUAUAAUCCUAAGAAACAGAUUUUAAAGCAAUCAAUCCAGCCGCGCUGUUUCCUGUAUCUGAAGGUUGUUCUGUCUGUACUUGCAGAAUUACCCCAUAGGCUUAUUAUUAAAGACCAAGAAUCUUUUUGGGUUAUCAGAGUUUUUACUUCCAUGUAGGCUGAGAUACUCUAAUUUAUUAAUUUAUGAGGCUUUUAAUGGAUUUUUUUUUUGGUCACAGUAAAAGUACACUAUCUCUGAAGUCCAUUGUAAUUGUUUUUUUUGUCAGGUGUGAAUAUCCAAAAGGGUUUCCUUAUUUCACUACUGGGUAUCAAGGUAUCCAUCUAAUACAUGUUUCUUCAUGUAUAUGUUUCCUACAGGAUUUAGAAAACGUUGUCCUCUGAAGCACAAAACUGUCUGAGGGCCAAGAGGACAGACAUCUAUAGCCUGGGAAGCAGUCUAAAUCUUUUCAAAAGGAAAAGUAGAGACAGUAGGGUUGUGGUAGUGCCUUGUGUCACUGUAGAGAGCACACACUGGCUUCUGGGUUUGAAAUCCAGGUCCUUGUAGACGCUGUUUGAUGACUCUUUCAGCAAAGUAAGAGUCCAAAGCAUUGUUCAACUAGGGGGCGUAUAUCCAAAGCUGAGCUAUGUGGGAGCUGAUGCAGGGGGGUUGCUAUGUGUGUAUAAUGAGGUCUCUGGGCUUUUUAAUGUACCUGCUAGGUCUGUGGCCUGGCUACAGGGAUAAAUGAGGACUACUAAAGUGGGUAUUCUUGUGGUUUCUCUGCUAGUCGGAUGAUCUGAACUGAAUUCAGUUCCUCUUUGGUUUGGGAAACCCUAAGAAGCUCACAGCGCAUCUGGAAGUUGAACUUGUCCGCUCUCAUCUCGGACACCAUAUUAUGUAUUUUACCAAAGCAAUUAGCCCUCAGGGUUCGUAAGUUGCGGGAGUGGAAGGACUACUGUUCUAGACUGCUGGUUUAGGUGCCCGGCUUGCUACAGGAACGUGCAACCUGGUUUUGAUUCCUGAUCACCACAUUCAGCUGCUCCUGGUGAUGUCUGUGUUGUAUCAACUCAUGGGGAUACUGGACCAUUUAUGUCUGGGCAGGCUAUGGUGAACAGAUUCUUGAAGGCGCUGGCUUUGUCUCUAGUGAAGCUUCCUAGCCCCACCGAAAACCUGGUACUGAAAAAUCAGUGUUUGCAGGAUUUACAGAGGACCCUCUGGCAUGGCGACAGGCACUCCAAAAUCACACUGAUUUGGAUAUGUCAUUUAAGAAGCUUGUUCCAGGAGGUGGCAGGAUCUGGCCUUCUCCUACCCAAGUGUCUUACAAGUUGACUGACAGUUUUUAUUUUAACUUUGACCAUUGAAAUUCCACUCACAGGCCUAUUCAGAGUGAAAAAGGUGGUAGUCUGUCACUGGGUCCCACAUAGCAGCACAGUUUAUCAUAGCCAGGGACAUGCUGCCUGCUGGAGCCUGUACUGUACUCUCUGUUCUACUGAUCCACCUCAGUGAUCAGGGGCAAAGUGUCAAGAAGCUUCCAUCUCCACCCUGCUCCUUCACAAGGCUCAGCCUGAUGAGGAGUCCUCACAGGGCCUAACUCACGUCUCUUCGCUGCAGCCUGUUUCUAUGUCUGUAGCCCUCCAUAGCUGCAGGGGACACUGUAUUUUCACUUGCCACUAGUUGGAUGACUUACAUGAGGCUCCAUUAGGAAUACACAUACAAAUACACACACACACACACACACACACACAUGCUCGCAUGCACACAUACAUCUUUGUCUAGGACCCUUAUCUAGAAUGUGAGCAAGACUACCCUUUCUUCUUAGGCAGAAGAACAAAACAUGACUGAGCAGAGCAGACCUUAGGCUGCAGGGCACAGUCCUUCUCCUAAAUUUCUUCUUUAAUAAAGAAAGAAAUUUAUUUAUUUUUAAAAAUAAAGCCAAGAUACAAAAGCAACAGAAGUUCUAGAAAAAAAGUAAUAUAAGCUCCCAGCUCCAAAGAAGGUAGGUACCUAUGGUUUCAUCCAAGAAACUGCUAUCAUGAGUGAACUGCUCGCUAAGGAAAACAACAGAAUGCACUGGAUUCCCUAGGGUUUGCUUAUGGCCUUGGUAACAAGCCUAACUUAGGAGUGAAGCCCCUAUGAUCUUUAAACCAGCCAUUCAGAGCCACACAGUUGGCAUUUCCUGUAUUCUAAUAGUACUGAGUUAAUUACCCAGGAAAUUAUGGGGUUUAUUCUUAAUAUGAUGAUUAUUAGUAUUAAUGAUCAUGAUUAGUGUUAAUAACUAUUUGCAGGGAGUUUUGUCCUUUGGUAUAUGAAGGUCUCCCUUGCAUCAUCUCUUUCUUACAGUGAAUUCUCUGGAGACACCCAACGUCUACCAUCCUUGUUUUCCCACUGAAUAUAUCCCUUUUAUUGAGGUAGUAAUGCCUUGUUUAGUAGGCUACCAGAAAAUUUCC
rnacentral:lncRNA from 1 species